GCAAACCCCAGGGUUUCCUUUCACUUACAGAUCCUUCACGUCACGUCACCCUGGGUAUUCCCUCCACCCCCAAAACAUUCCUCGAGACACAAAUUCAAACUUUCUUAGAGCAGUUUUGUCAAACUUUUGUUUUUCAUUCUUCAUAGAGACAGAAAGUUAAAACCACAAAGGGAAGCCAAAAAAACACCUGCAGGAAGCAGCAGAGUGGAGGCGGGGAAGUUACUGUGGCCGGGGAAUGGAUUCUAUGCCGCUGGAGGGGUGAGUGGAGGAACUGCGGCCCUGCCAUGCUGGGACAGCUGCUUCUGUGACAGAGGAACCCUGUUCCAUCUUUCCUGGGACUUGUCCCAGAGGUUUAUGGAAUUUCUCUUUUGGACAAGCAGAACAGACUGCUAUGCUCCAUCAAUAAGCACUGUUCUGAGGUAACUCUAAGAGCUCAGUAGAAGGGACAUUGACUGUUACGGUUCUAAGAAUACGUGUGUUGGUUUAAUAUAACAGUCCAAUGAAUAUUCCAGCCCAGUUUACAUUUGAGACACUUAGCUCCACAGGAGUGAGGUGAAUUACUCCAGAGCACACUUAUGAAUCCCACAGAUUGGAUGUUUGGUGCAAAAUCUGAAGAGCCCUCAUCCAGUGGCUGAUGGAAGCAGAGGCAGACACCCACAGCUAUACACUGAACUGAAUUCUGGACCCAGUUGCAGAGAGGGAGGAAUAAAGAUCAAAAGGGUUGGGACCAGGCUGGUGAAACCCACAGAAACAGCUGGCCUGAACAAGGGGGAGCACGACACCAGACUGCUGUCUGGGAAGCCAGCAUGGGACUGAUCAAGACCCCUGAAUGUGGAUGUCAAUGAAGAGGCCUCGACACUCUAUGGGGCCCCUGGUAGUAUCAGUAUUUUUCCCUGGUGUAAGAAGGAACUUUGAGAGCCCAUCCCACGUGAAGGGAUGCACUCUUGGCCUGGGCACAUGGGGGAGGGCGUAGGCCUGGCCCAGGAUGAUGUGGUGGACUUUGGGGAGCUCCCAUGGAGGGCCCUACCCUUCCUGGGGAGGGUAUGGAGUGGGGGACUGGUG
rnacentral:lncRNA from 1 species